UGCAGAGUGAUUUUCAGGACAGCCAGGAC
rnacentral:piRNA from 1 species